rnacentral:lncRNA from 1 species
CAGAGCACAGAUGUGGUUUCAAUCAGACAGUGUACUGUAUGAAUUCAUACAUAUCCAUUAUUAGUGCUUUAAACUCACUUCAAGCAACAGUUCUUCAGUGAGAAACUUUUAGUCCUAUAGCAAUCUAUUUACACCUUUUUUUUUUUUUUUGACAGAAUCUCGCUAUUGUCACCCAGGCUGGAGUGCAGUGGCGCAAUCUAGGCUUACUGCAACCUCUGCCUCCCAGGUUUGAGCAAUUCUUCUGCCUCAGCCAAGUAGCUGGGAUUACAGAGGUCUGCCACCAUGCCCGGCGAAUAUCUGUAUUUUUCAUAGAGAUGGGGGUUUCACCAUAUUGGCCAGGCUGGUCUCGAAUAUCUGACCUCAGGUAAUCUGCCUGCCUCCACCUCUGAAAGUGUAUGGAUUACAGGCAUGAGUCAACUGCACCCGGCCCUGAUUCCACAUAUUUCUGUGUCCUACAUGGCAGUGGUCAUCUUUCUCCGUUACAAGGGAACAAUAUCAUGACGGAAUUGGGUGGAACAACCCUUUAAGAAAACCGUAAAGUUGUUGAGGAGUGCUGCAACAACUCAAAUUUGAAGAAGGAAGCAAUGCAUUGACCUCGGGACUUCCCGUCACCCAUCCUCCAUGGAUGGCAAUGGUAAUGAGAACAAAGAAGAGGAGAGGAAAGAACCUGAAGUGAAUCAGUGCAGUUAAAUACCUCAAGAAGAAGGCUACCAUCGCAGGGUAGGUUGAAGCCUGACAGAAAGGCUGUGGUGGAAAGUGCUACAGACCCCCAGGUGGAAAUCAGACAGACAUGAGUGAGAUGAGUUUUCCAGAGACAACCUAAGUGAAAUAUUUAAGUAGAUGACAGGAUCUUGUUGUUAAUGUGAGUUUUCUCUCAACUCUCUGAACAUUAACUUCACCCUAAAAGACUUCACUAUUUUCCAAAAAAAAAAAGAACCUGAAAAUUGGUAAUUUCCUUAUUUUUUGUUCCUAUGACAUGUUUUAAAAUAAAAUAAGGCCAAUUUUGUUUCACAUGAAUUUUUAUUAUUUAUGAUUAGAAGAACAAAGAAUAUAUAUAUUAAUUGUAUAUAUAUGAAUAUAUAUGGCUAGAACCCCCUCUCCAACCCCAUCCUUGUAAACAUUUGUGCCCCUGAAUUUAUCUACAAUCUUGUAUUUUAAACUUUUGUAUAAAUCUAUCAUUCCAUUAGAAAGUAAACUAUUAGAAAACAAAAAAACAUAUGUAUAUAUACAUACAGACCCAUACAUAUUAUAUCUAAAUAUAUAAUUGUAUAUAUA